rnacentral:rRNA from 1 species
GACGAACGCUGGCGGCGUGCUUAACACAUGCAAGUCGAACGGAAAGGCCCUGCUUUUGUGGGGUGCUCGAGUGGCGAACGGGUGAGUAACACGUGAGUAACCUGCCCUUCACUUUGGGAUAACUUCAGGAAACUGGGGCUAAUACCGGAUAGGAGCCCCUGCUCCAUGGUGGGGGUUGGAAAUUUUCGGCGGUUGGGGAUGGACUCGCGGCUUAUCAGCUUGCUGGUGGGGUAGUGGCUUACCCAGGCUUUGACGGGUAGCCGGCCUGAGAGGGUGGACGGGGACAAGGGUACUGCGAGACGGCCCAGACGGGAACGGGAGGCAGCGGGGGGGAAUAUGGCACAGUGGGCGGGAGCCUGAGGCAGCAGCGCUGGGUGCGGGAUGACGGUUUGUGGGUUGAAAACCGCUUUAGCCUGAGACGAAGCGUGAGUGACGGUAAUGGGUAAAGAAGCACCGGCUAACUACGUG